GAGCACCCGUCAACAUCUUACCAGACAGCAUUAGAUUGAGCCUGAUUUCUAAUACUGUCAGGUAAAGAUGUCCGCGGGA
rnacentral:pre_miRNA from 1 species